rnacentral:rRNA from 1 species
GACGAACGCUGGCGGCGUGCCUAAUACAUGCAAGUUGAGCGCUGAAGGUUGGUACUUGUACCUACUGGAUGAGCAGCGAACGGGUGAGUAACGCGUGGGGAAUCUGCCUUUGAGCGGGGGACAACAUUUGGAAACGAAUGCUAAUACCGCAUAAAAACUUUAAACACAAGUUUUAAGUUUGAAAGAUGCAAUUGCAUCACUCAAAGAUGAUCCCGCGUUGUAUUAGCUAGUUGGUGAGGUAAAGGCUCACCAAGGCGAUGAUACAUAGCCGACCUGAGAGGGUGAUCGGCCACAUUGGGACUGAGACACGGCCCAAACUCCUACGGGAGGCAGCAGUAGGGAAUCUUCGGCAAUGGACGAAAGUCUGACCGAGCAACGCCGCGUGAAUGAAGAAGGUUUUCGGAUCGUAAAACUCUGUUGGUAGAGAAGAACGUUGGUGAGAGUGGAAAGCUCAUCAAGUGACGGUAACUACCCAGAAAGGGACGGCUAACUACGUG